rnacentral:rRNA from 1 species
UACGGGGGGGGCAAGCGUUGUUCGGAAUUACUGGGCGUAAAGGGCUCGUAGGCGGCCAACUAAGUCGGAUGUGAAAUCCCCAGGCUCAACUUGGGAACUGCAUCCGAUACUGGAUGGCUUGAAUUCGGGAGAGGGAUGCAGAAUUCCAGGUGUAGCGGUGAAAUGCGUAGAUAUCCGGAGGAACACCGGUGGCGAAGGCGGCUUCCUGGACCGACACUGACGCUGAGGCGCGAAAGCUAGGGGAGCAAACGGG